CGCGGGUAAGCAAGGGAUCACCUUCGGGUGUGAACUUGUGGAACGAGCGGCGGACGGGUGAGUAACACGUGGGCAACCUACCUAUAAGACUGGGAUAACUCGCGGAAACGCGAGCUAAUACCUGAUAAUACUUUUUAUCGCAUGAUAGAAAGUUCAAAGGCGGCGCAAGCUGUCACUUAUAGAUGGGCCCGCGGCGCAUUAGCUAGUUGGUGAGGUAAAGGCUCACCAAGGCAACGAUGCGUAGCCGACCUGAGAGGGUGAUCGGCCACACUGGGACUGAGACACGGCCCAGACUCCUACGGGAGGCAGCAGUAGGGAAUCUUCCGCAAUGGACGAAAGUCUGACGGAGCAACGCCGCGUGAGUGAUGAAGGUUUUCGGAUCGUAAAACUCUGUUGUUAGGGAAGAACAAGUGAGGUAGUAACUGACCUCGCCUUGACGGUACCUAACCAGAAAGCCACGGCUAACUACGUGCCAGCAGCCGCGGUAAUACGUAGGUGGCAAGCGUUGUCCGGAUUUAUUGGGCGUAAAGCGCUCGCAGGCGGUCUUUUAAGUCUGAUGUGAAAUCUUGCGGCUCAACCGUGAGCGGUCAUUGGAAACUGGAGGACUUGAGUGCAGAAGAGGAGAGUGGAAUUCCACGUGUAGCGGUGAAAUGCGUAGAGAUGUGGAGGAACACCAGUGG
rnacentral:rRNA from 1 species